rnacentral:rRNA from 1 species
ACGUGCCCUUUGGUUCGGAACAACCCAGUGGAAACUUGGGCUAAUACCGGAGUGAGCCCUUACGGGGAAAGAUUAUCGCCGAAGGAUCGGCCCGCGUCUGAUUAGCUUGUUGGUGAGGUAACGGCUCACCA